UCGAAAUACAAGUGAAGAAGCGAAAAACCGCCGCCUGUCCGCCGAAUUUGAAGUCAAUUUAGGAUACUUUCUUUUAAUAAACGAAACUGUGACUCCUUCACAAUGUCAGAUUACCUUGUGGGAGUAGCUGGACCAAACUCUAUUGGUAUUUCAAGUUUGAAAUCCCUGUUUGACCAGACUAACAUUUCAGAUGAGGUAAUAGAUGGCCUAAUCUAUUUGCAGUGUGAGUGUGGAGUUUCUCCAUGGAGACCUUUUCCUUCCUGAGAUAACCUUCACCUUAAUGGGAGCAAUAGUGUCCAUUACAUUUAACAUGUUAGCAUUGAAGCUAUUGACGAGCUCAUUGACUGACCCUCUGGGCAGGUCAGGUGUUAAUGGGAAGACCUGGUUAAAAAUUGCACUACUGUGUUCAGUUAUACACCGUUUUGUGAUCACUGUUGUUGAUAUAUUUGUGUGGGCUGAGAUUUUAAACACAGUAAUGAUCAGACAGGCCCACAUCAGACACAGUAACCUUUGAAAUGCUCAGGCCUUUGGAGAUCAGUAGGUCAAGAGUGUGUCCUCUAUUAUGUGUGGCCUCUGUUACAUGCUGAGUCAGCCCAAAGUUGCCCAGAGUGUUACUCAGGUCUUUAGUCCCUUUGUCCUG
ensembl:lncRNA